rnacentral:misc_RNA from 1 species
CUCUAAGUACCAAAUCACAAACAAAAUGUUAAUCUUCUGAGUUAAUAACAACACAGCAUAGAAAUGGGUGGCAAAGCGAAAUUUCCCCAUACUUACAAAAAGGAAGCCAUGCUCAGCGGAUGUUCCAACAAUCUCAUGCAAACAUCCAACAUUUCAGCACCAGAAAUUCUUUUCAAAAUGACGAUGAUAAUCUCAAAGUUGAAUCUUUAAUAUAAGCUGCAGUGCACAUGUUCUGACCAGGCCAUAUCUGCAAAUGUUUUGGCCAUGCCAGGUUCCAUUACAAAUUCAUCUCAAUGAAGCAGUCUCCACAUGNNNNNNCAGAACCAAUUUGAAACACUGAAGUCCCGCAGCUUGCUGAGAUGCUUCUCCAUGUCUUGUCUAGUCUUGGUCCAUUCUUCUCUCUCUAUUACCGUGGUUGGAUCAUCUCUUUCACUCGCAUGAACUAUUUUGAAGGAGGUCCCAUUAUCACGUAUUACAAGCAAGUCACUCUUCCUAUCCCUAUUUCUUCCUCCAGGAACCGUAACCACUACUUUUUCUCUGGUUAUUGACUUUGUUUUGGAAUCAAUAACAUAUAUCUCCUCAAAAUCUAGCACAAAUUCCGGGUCACCUAAUCUUCGGUUCCUGUAGUGCUUUGUCAAGAAAACCUUCAAAAUCUCUCGCUCAGAUUUAUACAUAGGAUCUCGUGGUGCAUCAAUGGGCGGUUCUGUUACAUUGUAACGUCCAUAAUCACU